AACCAGCAUUGUCAAAGCGUACCGAUGUACUACUCGUAGCGAUCGAGUAGCGAGAACUUACGUGCAAUUGUCUCCCGGUACACUAAUGAGACAAAGUUACACCUUUCAAGUGUCAAAAAGUGUUUCCACACGUUUGACGUUUUGUGGAUGCGGGUUUGGUUUAAUAUCUGCAAAGUUGGACUGUGAUUUCUCCCCUUAACGUUGGAUAGGACGAUGGAUACGGUUCCGUGCUUCCUGAGCUUUGUGAGAACGAUCCCCUUUUCACGGCCAAGUGACAGGUGAGCGGAUCUUCUGGGCAAUUACCAGGUGCCAUGAUCUACCACCCCCGGCACCGAAGCUCACACAGUUGGCCGUCCGGGACUCGUUAAUUUUAAUUUCUUUCAGCACCUUUUCCCAUACGGCCGGCGCUCGCUGUCCUCGUUGAUUAAAUGCCAUCGCCGGAGGUGGUUUGGGGGUUUAGUGUGAAGUUGCGUGCACUGCAUAUCAAUGAUGUGAGAACGAAGCGAGCUAGGCAGCCGGUGGGCAACGCAUGUUCGCAGCACACGGACAGUAAUAAACGAGAGACGAACGAAGUCAAUCUUACGUGCAAGUAUAGCUUGCCGGGAAUCUGGAGAAAUUAUUCGAACAAAUAUCUCGUCGCUUACAUCAAUCACUUGCGGUGCAAUGGAGAUGGACGACGGAAAGCAUUAUACGUAGAAUAGCUUACCGGUACGUACCAUACGCGCAACGGUCGGAAGGAAUCAGGGCUAUUGUGUAACAACAGUUAUUAUGUAUGUGGAACCGCGGAGUAAGUAAGCUUGAAGUGUAGCCGCGAACUCUUAAUUUUGACAUGUGUCACCGUUUCAACUGACACGCAGUUGUUCGCGCCUUUUUAUCUAUUGAACUAGAGUGUUGUAAGCCGAUCUCUUUGCAUGAAUAAAAGUUAUUAAAUUGAACUAACGGACAAACACAAAAACAGUAUUGCAGUGUUUUGAACUAAGCAGAAGAAGAACGAAAAACGACCACACCUUGAAGACGGUGGUUUUCAUGGUCGCGCAGUAGCAGGCCGGCCCUUGAUGCUCGACUUGCACUUGCAAACAGCGGCAAAAACCGUACCUUCGUCCCGUUCAAGAAGCUGCAUCUGGAGUCGUACAAAAGCGCCAGGAAAAUUGGUGGAAUGUGACCUCUUCCGCUGUAAGUAAAGUUCCACAGUCGUUGGCGCCAGUGCCAGUGAGUGCAUCGAUCCGUGCAGAAGGAAUGAAAGAACGAAACAAAAAACAACAACAAUUCGAAACCACUUUUUGUUUACCAACCGGAGAACUUAUGCAGUGCAGUUCCUUACUGGUUUCAUUCUACAGAUGGUGGAAUUUUAAACAAACUCUCUGGCAGAAAGACCGCCGGUUGUGUGGCAAUCGACCCAGGGAGAAGGAUGGUCUAGCAGGAAUGUCAACAAAUGCUAUCGAAAUCGGAACUGGAAACCAAAUGGUGGAACCUUUCACGUUACAGAUUCCUGUGGAUAUAUGUAAGAAUGAGCUAUAAAUUAAACAAAUUAGCUUACGACGUCAGCAAAAACCAAACCCUCGCUAACCAAUUUUAUCAUCACCCAUUGUGUAGUACCUUACUGACAAGGAUCGCUGACGUUGGCAAGAUUGCAAAUAAAAGUCAACCAAUAUUGAGCGGUGGAAAGAGAAACGGAAAAAUUGGAGGCGACAAGGUGAAGGGCACGAGAAACGAGUAAAAAACUCCUCUGGAAUGGGGUGGUUGAUGAUACAGAAAUAAAAACGAAUGGGCGCAGCAGUUUGCAUCACCAAAAAACGUGACAAAUAUACUUGGAAUUUCAAUAGACGACAAAUAUUUGUUACCAGUUUAAAUAGAAACCACAAUUCCAAGGCGAAAACAACGGUCCCAAUAGAACAAAUGGCAAAAGGGCAGCAGAAGGGCAGAUCCGAUUGAAGUGCGCCUGUUGGCAAUGUUUUACAGAUGAAGUUUUCGUUCCACCAUGCCAAGAAUCGUUUCACCAUUCUGGCAAAGAAAAAUGUGGCAAAAAAAGGGCAGUAAAAGAAAUGUCCUAUUUUUGGGCCAUCAAUAAGCCACAAGAAAGAAAAAAACGAUACAUGGUACCUUGAUCGACAUCGACAGAUUGGUCUUGUGGGCAAAGGGAUGGUUGGCGUAACAGCUGAUACGAGUUUUUGCCUUCGAGAAAUGACUCGAGGGGAAUCGAUAACAAUAUACGGAUAUUGUAUUCACGCCAUUUCCCAGCCAUUGCUUCUAUUUUCCUAACGUCACGGCAAUGUCAAGAUUACGUCAGCGAAAUAUCAACAUUAAUCAUCGUUCAUUUCGAUGUACAGCAAUUUGCACAAUUUGCCAUUGCACGGCUUAUUGAUAAAAGGUCUUUAAUAAGCAAUAUUUGUUGGAAUGGGAAGAAAAUCAAAACGCAAAUUUACCGUGACUGGUGGCGUUGGGGUGUACUGAUUUCUCAGCCCAAACUGCAUUGAAACCAACACGGCAAGUUGGAUAAUAUUCAUAGACAGCAAUGGCCGAGAGCGGCAACAUGAAGCUGCUGAUGACUAUAAUAACGAUUGUUGGCUUUCCUUUCAUCAGUUUCUUCAUUUGUACAAAUUGUCACGAUUUCAUCCGACCUGCCCGAUGACCUUCGGUGCUGGUUGAACGCUUGCGUGACACGAACCGGCAACGCAAAUGCUGGAACAGUGCUGUGACAGUGGUGGAAGAGCUCGGUCUAGCCGUUUGCAAUCUAUCCUCUGCUUCCUACCGAGAUUUGUCCAUGUAGCGCGUCAGUGUAAUGAAUUAUAUCCAUCCGGUUAGGCGGCUAAAGAAAGUAUAUCAUUCAUUCACUCCGCCACCAUGGGGCAACUUUUCUCAUCAACAUCCAGCAGCGGACACGUGAACGCAGUAAUACAAGCAUGCAGGAACGUACGUAAAUUGACAGAUACCAUUAGAGAUUAGUGUUACCGAGACACUCCGUUCCCCGUCCCCAACGUCUUGCUUUUCGUGUAGAUUUGCGACCAACCCGACAAGUAAAUUAAUGGUGACGUUGCUUUCUCGAAGAUUUUCUGCUUGCCAUUCAAUAUCUUCAUUAUGGCUUUCUGCUUGCCUUUAUGCAAAGGAAGAAGGAAAAAACAAACUCCACAUGGCGCAACAUUCUCCUGCAAUUGUCUAAUACCACAAAACCCGAAGCACAAUGAUGGGCAAAGUGUUCUACCGUUCCAACCAUUUUGAGAUGAAACUUCACACCAUCACAAACCGAUGGUUGUCGGCUGGGUUUGAAAUACCACCAAUGUUGUUAGCAGGCGUAUCCAUCAAGCGCUGUCGGAAGCUCAUUCGAUACAAGCCGCAUCCAAUUCAUCAUAGUUCUCUACCAAAGGCGCAUGAUGAAUGUGUCAAAAAAAAAGUGACAGUCUGCCUAUUGUGGCUGUGUAAAUAAAGUAAGAAAAUACUUCACUUAUCCUAAGCAGGUGAUGAGAUGGAGGCGCAUGGUGUUUAUCAUAAAUAGAAAAUAAUGUACUAAUUUUGUUGUUUUUUUUUAUAUAUACAGAACGGCUUGGCCAUAUUGAUACUAAUUUUGUUGAUGUCGUAUAUGAAAAAAUAUGACAGUCUGCCUAUUGUGGCUGUGUAAAUAAAGUAAAAAAAUACUUCACUUAUCCUAACCAGGUGAUCCGAUGGAGGCGCAUGGUGUUUAUCAUAAAUAGAAAAUAAUGUACUAAUUUUGUUGUUUUUUUUUAUUUAUGUAUAUAGAACGGCUUGGCUACAUUGAUACUAAUUUUGUUGAUGUCAUAUAAGAAAAAAUGUGACAGUCUGCCUAUUGUGGCUGAGUAAAUAAAAUAAGAAAAUACUUCACAGGUGAUACAGGUGAUCCGAUGGAGGCGCAUGGUGUUUAUCAUAAAUAGAAAAUAUUGUACUAUUUUUGUUGACUACGUUGUAAGAUAACAACCUGGUCGUUUUGAAGCUAGUAAAAAGAAGCAAAAUAAAUGAAUAAUAAAAAGUAAGAUAGGCCAAAUGCUUAAUCAGUGAUAUAUUGCCUAGGCAGGAUAAAAGGACGGUUAAAGGUGGGUUUAGGUUGCAUCCCACACGAAGAGUGGUGGAAAAAUUAUGUAUCUUUUAUUUCUCUACAGAACCACCUACAAUGCACGUGCGGGUCGGAAUAAUCGAAAUUGGGCUUUCGAUAAACCGAAAUGGAAAAGAAACGAAAUCUCAAUAUGCUGCGAAAAGAAACAGUGAUAUAAAAACAAAGCUUUUUUUCACAGAAACAAGAGAAUAUCUUUAAAAAAAUGGUUGGCGAGCUUUCUAUAAACGACUUGCUGAAAAGUCUUUGAUAAAAAUCCUACAUUCUUUGAUUUUAUCCUUCCUUUUGUGGUCCAUGUUGUGUCCAUCGUCAUACCGAUGGGAUAGCAUUGGACACAAAUGUUUAGUGACGUCCAUCGUGGCCGUAUCCUUUCACUGAACUCAUCAACCCGUUAAAAGAUCCUUACAGCUAACUCCCUUUCCCUGGUCACUCUUAUAACCCUACUUA